rnacentral:lncRNA from 1 species
AGGCCACUAAUAUUGUUUUUGUUUUCAACACCAAUGGGCGCAUGACGUGCAAUACUGGUGGCAGUGGAUGAAGGUGGAAGAGUCAACAAACAUAUGAACAAUUCAAGGCGUAUAAUUUCCAUCGCAGUGAGACCGGUGUAAUGUCUCUAGAAUUUCAAGUCACUUGGCAAGAAUUAUGUUGGGAUGACGUGUGAAAACCCAGAAGAUGCCUCUGGUAGGUUAGACCUCCUAAUGGUUGAUGGAAGUGUUAACAAUCCGUGAAGCAGUCUGGACUUUCUUUUCAAGGUCUGCAGGACCUCGCAAAUCGCCUGCUCUUUUGAGCCUGUGCCUUCCACAGGAGCAGUGGCCCAGCACCUCAGCUAGCGCCUGAUGUUAUAUGUAGUGCAUGCAUGGCCUGGGUCAUCAAUUUACAUGCCUGUUGUAAUAAAAUGUCAGUCACAUACAAUAUCUCACAGAAGGCAGUGGCACCUCAUUGACUUUGCAUAAACAUUCCAUACGCCAGCAGGUCACAUCAAUGCAGCAUUUGAUCAAGAACGCCUUGAUGGGAGGAACCUCCCAACAUAGCAGAGCUAUUUGUGCAUGAAAGGCACCCUUAAGUCAUUUUAUUGAGUUCAAAGCAAGCUAUGUGCAUGCCAACACAACCAGGGAUCAUAGUGCAGCAGCAACGCAGUCAAUCAGACACCAUCACUGCUAUUGUCUGUAUCUACUAUACAAUUGGAAUACGGUGAAUAGUGCAGCAAAUCUAUCGCGGAGGGUAGGACCCCGGGGGUGGGUAGGGCAUGCUUGCAAUGGGUGCUGAUGCGGGCAUGACACUGCGGCAACGCAUGCACUGGUAAUGUGGCGUGCCCUGCGAGCACUUCCCAAAGGGAAGGAAGAAGAAGCAGCACUGCUCAUCUUGUCUCAACAGCUGCACACACUGCAUUCCCUGCGCAGCAAGCAUCUUCUCCUGAGGGCUGCACGCUCCACGCUCCACGUAACGCUUAAACCCAUUUCUCACGAUAUCUAUAAAAAUGAACACGGCAGCAACUGGAGUUCGGUUGGUGACCACCGAGCAGUAUGGAUCUAUUACAGGCCAAAAGAGUUCAUCGCUGCACAGGGAUGCACUGAUGCAAGUUCACACCAGCGAGACAUGUAGUGCGCUCAGUCAACUUCCUGAUUGCCUGGAUCCAGCAAACACAUCCGGCAGCAAUGUCAAGACAAUGCACGGUGAUCCCAGGUACUCUCAGCAUAGCUGCGAGAGCCACUCAUGCAGCUGGAUGCAUUGUUGCCGCGAAUGUGAAGUAAAUUGCGCCGACUCACCUGGCAAACUGGGCAAUUGUAAAUGGGAGGCGACAGUGCUACAGUAUGUGGCUCUGUGCCACAGAUGCAAGGUAAAAAAAGGCAAUCCAUGUGCUGCGCUCCUUUCCCCCAAGCGGCUGUCAGAUGUCCAGGAGCUUCCAGUAGUUUCCUCUCCAAAGGUUGGGUAAAUGCUGUCAACCUGAUAGGACGUGUAAUAACACAUAUAUGGUAUUGUUUCGUUAUACGACAGUUCGUUCACCGGAUCAUGUCAGCAAAAGAACCGUUGCCAUCAGCAAGGACUGUCGUUCCGUGAUUGGCAUUUGCGGUCAGUACCCAGUCCAUGAUCCUGCAAGUAUUAAUAGCACAUCGCAAGCAAAUGACGGGCUCAUCGAAGCAAAAAAAGCCAGUAAUUACCUUCCAAGGUUAAGACUGGGUCACAGACUGCUAUUCUAGAUAUGUCCUUCCACCGACCAAGUGCAGCUCCGACAGAGGUAUUGACCAGAUACAGGACUGAUCCACAUAGUUCUGUUAAUUUACUUGAGACUUGAUCAAACCAAGGUGA